UACGUAGGGGGCAAGCGUUGUCCGGAAUCAUUGGGCGUAAAGAGCGUGUAGGCGGCUCGGUAAGUCCGCUCUGAAAGCCCGGGGCUCAACCCCGGGAGGCGGGCGGAUACUGUCGGGCUAGAGUCCGGAAGAGGCGAGUGGAAUUCCUGGUGUAGCGGUGAAAUGCGCAGAUAUCAGGAGGAACACCAAUGGCGAAGGCAGCUCGCUGGGACGGUACUGACGCUGAGACGCGAAAGCGUGGGGGAGCAAACAGG
rnacentral:rRNA from 1 species